CCUACGGGUGGCAGCAGUGAGGAAUAUUGGUCAAUGGACGAGAGUCUGAACCAGCCAAGUAGCGUGAAGGAUGACUGCCCUAUGGGUUGUAAACUUCUUUUAUAUGGGAAUAAAACGUUCCACGUGUGGGAUUUUGUAUGUACCAUAUGAAUAAGGAUCGGCUAACUCCGUGCCAGCAGCCGCGGUAAUACGGAGGAUCCGAGCGUUAUCCGGAUUUAUUGGGUUUAAAGGGAGCGUAGGUGGAUUGUUAAGUCAGUUGUGAAAGUUUGCGGCUCAACCGUAAAAUUGCAGUUGAAACUGGCAGUCUUGAGUACAGUAGAGGUGGGCGGAAUUCGUGGUGUAGCGGUGAAAUGCGUAGAUAUCACGAAGAACUCCGAUGGCGAAGGCAGUUCACUGGACUGCAACUGACACUGAGGCUCGAAAGUGUGGGUAUCAAACAGGAUUAGAUACCCGUGUAGUC
rnacentral:rRNA from 1 species